UCCCUUUCCCACAAGCCUCCGCUCCGAGCGGCCGGACACGGCGCCCCGCGCAGAGGGCACAUAGCUCCGCGCUCGCUCAGUGCCUAACUAUACCCCCCGGCUCAGCGGGCGGGGCGAGGAGCGGCGCCGCGCGGCGGCCCGGGGGCAGCGCUGUGUCACCCACUCCCCCGCCACAGCGGGCACUGAGCAGUUGUGUCCAACUGCCGCCGGCCCGGCCAAAAUAGCAGAGUGACCCGCCCUGUCGUCAUCGCCUCCUCCUGAGUCAGCGUGCGAAGGACGGCUGCGAACCCAGCACGUGGGGGCCGAGCGGGGGGCACAAGCUUCCCAGCCUCACUGGGCAAUGACCUGUAUCUAUGACUGGUAAUCAACUUGCAUCUCUUCUGAUGAAAACAGAAGAAUCAGCUCUUACUUGAAGUGAGCUUUUAGAGUUGUUGCUACUUCAUUCAAAUCAAGAACACCAUCUGGAGCAAUUUUGACAAGAUCCAUGAAUUUUCGGGUCAAGUAAACCAGGGAUGCAUCAAAACGAGGCUUUGUGACUUUCAGAGUU